UGAAUGAUUUGACUUUGAGUUUCCCGGGUGAGGCUUGCCGAGCCCGGGAAUAUGUUAUCCGAAUACCGUAAACACCUUUCUGAGAGAGUCGCGUACGAUAUUUUUCGCCACACUACAGGUAUAGCUGACGCCAAAAAGUUAGGCGGUUUCGUGAGUCUCUUGUGCGUUCCAACAGCUGAUG